rnacentral:rRNA from 1 species
UACGAAGGGGGCGAGCGUUGUUCGGAAUUACUGGGCGUAAAGGGCUCGUAGGCGGCCAACUAAGUCGGACGUGAAAUCCCCAGGCUCAACCUGGGAACUGCGUCCGAUACUGGAUGGCUUGAAUCCGGGAGAGGGAUGCAGAAUUCCAGGUGUAGCGGUGAAAUGCGUAGAUAUCUGGAGGAAUACCGGUGGCGAAGGCGGCAUCCUGGACCGGUAUUGACGCUGAGGCGCGAAAGCCAGGGGAGCAAACGGG